rnacentral:lncRNA from 1 species
GUUCAAUUUAAUUCAGCUUUGGAAGCUGAAUUGGAGGUCCGGAAUCAGAGGAGCCUGCUAGGUCUCUGAACACUAGAGUUUUGCUUGGGAAGAUCUUGUGAUGAUGAAACAGACCCAAAAGAGGUUAAGCCAUUCAUCUAAGAUCACACAAGUAGUAAAUGACAGAGCUAUUUCCCAGCCUUACUGAAUGAUGGUGACUAUAGGAGUAGUAAAUAAGAUCAAGAGCUUGAAGACACCUUACAGACCUUCUUGUCCAUCCCAUUUUCUUAACAAAUGAGGCAGCGAAACCCCAAAGUGACUGAGCCCUUCUUGAAGGCAGAAACCAUGUCUUUCAACUUAUCACAGGGCAUCUGGCUCAUCAUCAUACUCCUGAGUGCCUGGAAAAUAACAACCCAGAUUUUCAAAUAAAAUGAGCUUUGUCUCUGCCUGGCACCCACAUAUUCUUCCAUAUCAAGAGGCUGCAGCAUCCAAUAAUCAGGAAAACCUGAGUAAAUUUUUUGGCCUUCCCUUUGUACCAAGAGAAAAAGUUUGAAUAUUUUAUUUUAUGGGGUGUUCACAGUACCUUAUUUUAAAAUUAUACACAACAGCACAUAUGUCAUGUGCAUUUGUAAAUUACUAAACUUUUAAAGCUAUAUCAACAUUUCUAGCCUUUGUAUGUCAUCUGAUGACUUUCAUGUUCUUUUUGUAAACUUGUUUUUACUUAUUUUAACUUUAAAAAGAAACUGUAUGUUUAUGCU